rnacentral:rRNA from 1 species
GCCUAACACAUGCAAGUCGAACGGGAAUCUUCGGAUUCUAGUGGCGGACGGGUGAGUAACGCGUAAGAAUCUAACUUCAGGACGGGGACAACAGUUGGAAACGACUGCUAAUACCCGAUGUGCCGAAAGGUGAAACCUAAUUGGCCUGAAGAAGAGCUUGCGUCUGAUUAGCUAGUUGGUGGGGUAAGAGCCUACCAAGGCGACGAUCAGUAGCUGGUCUGAGAGGAUGAGCAGCCACACUGGGACUGAGACACGGCCCAGACUCCUACGGGAGGCAGCAGUGGGGAAUUUUCCGCAAUGGGCGAAAGCCUGACGGAGCAACGCCGCGUGAGGGAGGAAGGUCUUUGGAUUGUAAACCUCUUUUCUCAAGGAAGAAGUUCUGACGGUACUUGAGGAAUCAGCCUCGGCUAACUCCGUGCCAGCAGCCGCGGUAAUACGGGGGAGGCAAGCGUUAUCCGGAAUUAUUGGGCGUAAAGCGUCCGCAGGUGGUCAGCCAAGUCUGCCGUCAAAUCAGGUUGCUUAACGACCUAAAGGCGGUGGAAACUGGCAGACUAGAGAGCAGUAGGGGUAGCAGGAAUUCCCAGUGUAGCGGUGAAAUGCGUAGAGAUUGGGAAGAACAUCGGUGGCGAAAGCGUGCUACUGGGCUGUAUCUGACACUCAGGGACGAAAGCUAGGGGAGCGAAAGGGAUUAGAUACCCCUGUAGUCCUAGCCGUAAACGAUGGAUACUAGGCGUGGCUUGUAUCGACCCGAGCCGUGCCGAAGCUAACGCGUUAAGUAUC